CCGGGCGUUGCUGCGGGCGGGGCGGGCGCGGCCCGCACUACACUUCCCGGAGGGCCCUGCUGCCACCGGGCCCGCCCCCGCCCCUCCCGGCAUCCGAUUGGUCAUCUCCCCACGGCCGUCCGUCCCUCUCCUCCUCUCAUUGGCUGGCGGAGCCGUCGCUCCGCGGGGGGUAGAACAGGGUGGGGGAGUGGCGGGGCGCUGGCGGCACGCGGGAGCUCGGCGCUGACAGGGCGGCGCGCGGAGGCGCUGCGGGACGGGCCGGGACAGGACGGGCACCUCCUGCCCGCGGCAGGUGAGCUCCGUAAGACUGGUUUAAGCAGUGCAGAAGUUCAUGGAUGGAAGAAGAGUCCUUGUUUCAGAACACCUACACCUGAAGAUUUUAUAAACGCCGUUAGAAGAGCUGGCGUGCAGGAGGAAUGGAUCUCAUCUGUCUGCUGUGAUUCUUGACCCACCUAAUCGGCUAAUGGCCACGAGCAAUAACAGCGUGGCUCAGGGGAGCGGAGCUGGGGAGAGAUGCAGCCGCUUGGGGCAGAGAAGCACUGCGUUGUACCGAAGGUGUUGCACAUGAUCCUGCCGUUGAUGACCGAACCUCCCUGAAAUCUUCUUAUCAGUUGCUGCCAAGAUGAGAAGGAUAGCAGGAAAGAGGAGUGCAUAAGUGAUUCUCAUGACAGUUAAUUUCAUCAUUUUAUCAAAUGACAGGUUGUUGGUUUUUUUACCUCAAAACUCGAUUGUCAUGACAAGAUGCUUUUGGAAGUCAUCUUUGUAAAAUGAAACUGACAAUUUUUAGGACACAAAGAGUUAUUGUAUCUUGCUAUACAAUGUUGUCAUUAUGGUAAGCCGCUGGAAGGUCUUUAUUUCUGAACUAAUUGAACUUGCAUACCUCACUCAUUUAUUUGAAAGUCUGUUGAAUGCCACGUGAGAAGUUUUCUUGCCAGAGUUCCUUUUUUUUUUUUCUCCAAUGAAACAGUUAUUCUUACAACACUCAAUUUGUUAUUGUCUAAAUUACUGUUGCCCUAGCCUCCUGCAAAGUGUUUCUGUUUAGUAAUUCUUGAACAAAUAAGGAAUGAGCCAGGUUUUGUCCUUUCAUGUGUUGAUCAGCAUAUUUUACCUCUCUAUUAAACCUUCCUUAGUUUUCAGAAUGACAGCAUUACAAAGAAAGGUGCUUUACUUUUUGUUGUUUUUUUUUCUUUUGCACCCAAUUGCAAGUGUCUUGUGCAAUGAUUUUGUGAACGUGUGCAUUGCUAAAACACAAUUACUGGGAGGAGAGACAAACUGUUGGGAAUGUCAUGUUAUGCCAAAUUAAGAAUUAGUAACUCCUACUUUCUCUGCGCAGUCUUUUCAACUAUAACUCAACCUCUUGCAUCUGGCUAAUACUUUGACUCUAGUGGAACUAUUGUGUCUUUGCAGUUGCAUUUUAGACUAAUUUCAGAUUCGUAUGUGUUGUCCUUGUUUUUGUGUUGUUUUUUUUUUUUCCUCCACUAGUCUGCUUUAAACCACUGGGAUUAACUUCAGAGAAGGCAAGAGAUACAACCUCCUUUGUCAGCAGCUGUGCUGGUUAAAAAGGAGGCUUCACGCACACUAGCUUGCUCUCUCUUUUGCAGGUUAUUGUUCCCGCUAUGCAAGGAAGUUGAACUGUUUUCCUGAGCAUACCCAGAAUUAAUUCAGCACAAGUUGAUCAGGUUAUGUGACCAGAACAUGCUGGUUACUGCUGGCCUGGGCCAUUCUGAUGGAAGAGCAGGAAGCAUGCAGACCAGCUGCAUCAAUGGCUUGCCUGGGAAGGGGUGUCACCAACAGGGGAGUUGUGGAGCUGGUGGUGGUGAUUUGGUGUUUUCAGCAGGUGCAGCUGCAUCUCUAAGUUCUACACAUGUGGAAAAAUACUUUGUUAAAGCAGCUCCUGGGUGAACGGGGUAAUUAAAGAACUGCGCCGCUUUUAUUGGAGUUGACACAUGCUGCACGUUCCUUAAAACUCACUCAUGGUGUGGAGCACCCUGCCAAGCACACUCUGCUCCUCUGGGCUGCAGUGAGAAGUGGAUGACCGGUGCUGCACACAGCUAAGCACACAGCCUUAUCAGCAAGCGUGCUUUUAGGUUAAAGCACAGCCAUCUCCAUACUGACAGAGAGGAAGUCACAGAGUUACAGCGUUGACCAGCACAGUGGCUGGAGCAGGGAACAAAGUUCAUCAUCCUGAGACACCAGACCUUUGACGAAGCGCAGGUUACCUGUGACAGUGCGUGCGGCGCUAACAAAGAGUCCCUGUCAGCCUUUGUAGAAGACUUUGAGGCUUCAGUCAGCGUUGACUUUCCAGAAGAUGAGGAGCGUGUUGGUGAAGUGCUAGACUGUGGUUCCUCGGAUCCCUCAGUUCGUGGGGGAACAGAAGAAGCUCAGUGUGGAGAUGAAAAGAUGACAGAAGCAGCAGAAUCCCAGAAGUUGCGAUCACACAGGCAGAUGAGGUACUUGCCUAUGGGCAGACUGAGGGUGGAGGAUUUCGUUCAUACAGCAGAACCUCUGCAUGACUUGUAAGGAGGCCUUUCCUGGUCUUUUUUCUAUGUUCUGCUGAAUCCUGAUCAACCCGAAUGCUGCCUGUUGGCACUGGGAUAGGGAGAGCCACCCAUGAAGACCCAGAUGCUGUAGCCUCACUUUUCUAAGACGGCACUCGACUGGGCAGUGAAGCACGGCAAUCUUGAGAUGGCAGAGAUGGUCGCCAAAGCAGGCGUCGAUGUCAAUGCUAAAUCGUAUGUCACUUAUUUCAUUGUGACAGGGGUAAUGUAUUUGUAAACUGUGCUAUAAAUAUUGGAAUCUCAUAUUCAGACACCAGCAUAUCUCAUAUUCAGACACCAGCAUUUCUGAGCUAUGCUUUUUCAAAUGAAUUUAGAAUUGACAAAAAUUUUCAAAGCCAAAUUACUAGUGUGUCACUGUGAAAUUAGGUUCUUGACCCUGCUUCUGAUGUAUGCUUAUUUUUCUACACAUUUUCUCCUUCAAUUUUAUGCAUCACUAUUCACUGCUGGAAUUGGUGACAUGGCUUUCCCAAAAGGGGGCAUGGGGGACUGGCGCUGUUUACACACAUGCCUGCAUUUGGAUAGAGUGGAUAUGCAGAAAGACAUAAAACAGGAAACCAAUCCUAGCACAGCCCCGUGUUCCUUUGUACCUCCUCUUGUUCAGCUCCUCAAGGCCCAGCCUGCAGCAGAGGAGCCGGCCCUUGGCCUUUCAGCACAUGUGGCCCCUGCAGCCUGUGUCCCGUUGACUCCCCAGCGACCCAACAGCCCACAGCAAUCCAACACCCUGUGCUCCCAAUCCUUUCCAUUCCACUGUGCAGCCAUAAGCAAGCCACUGCCGGGCACCUUCAUGGCCACAUGGUGUGGCUCUGCACCGGCACAGCCCCCUCCAUUUCCCAUGGAAGGUGAGUUUCUAACUGUGUUUGUGCUUUAGACGAGCCCUGUAAGGAAACAUAUGCAACCUUCCCCUCGGUCUGAGGGCUAACAAGUUUGGAGGCCAGGCCUACAUGCUGUGAGUCCCUGGGCUGGGUGCGUUGUUUAAGGGCUUGCUCUCAGCAGUGACCCGGCAGGAAGGGCUGCUGGUGCUUGGGCUGCUCCCCGAGGCACAACCCCGCACAGGUCUGCCCAGAACAAUGCAAAGGCCACAGGUGUCCCGCAGGAAGGCUGUGGCAGAAAAGAAAAUACAGCGCCAAAGCCCUGAAGCUCUGGAAUGUGGCUGCCGUGCCUGUGCUCCCAUAUGUGCUCCGGCUGCUGGACUGCCUGUGUGCUUCAGGUGCGGCCCUGGCUGGCCGCUACCGUAUCCAGAGCUCAGUUGAAGGUUCUACCCAACAGCCCAGCAUCACGGAAUUGCUCCCACGGCAAUCCCAUGGCGUGGUUUCUGGACAUGCCCACUCCAGACCAUGAGAGAGCACCCCAGGGAAAAUGCUGGAUCCUCCAAGCAUGAAAAGGAGGGGAGCAACAGCAUUCUCACAGGACCCUCCUACUGCACCCACAAACUGUAUAAAGGUAAAAUGAGUAGGGGUGGGGGUAGGGUUUGCAUAGUGACCUCUCAUCUUGACUGGCCAGCCUGUAUUUCGCCAGGUCUAGCGUAUAAAGGACUUGCGAGGAUGGAGUUUGUGCAUCUGUGACCGGAUUACAAAAACCCUCAGAAAUUGCUGUAAUUUAAGACACAUUUAAAAGUGUACUCUGGAUGGCAAGGAUGGCACUUGGGGAUUGAGGACAGUAAUCUCUGACAGUGGGCCAGUAAUGAAUACUGAGAUAUCUUGGGCUCUCCCUCAGCUGCCCCACUGCUGUGCCAACCCAAUGGCAUGAACUUUAAGGAUCUUUGCAAAAAGCUCGUGUGCUAAACAGCAUAGCACAGCUGACAUUCAAGGAGCACUUAACAUCAACCUAUUGCUCAGGACCAUACCAGUACCUACACAGUCUUGUGCCAGAAUCUAUUGUAUAAGGAUCAGACCAAGCAUCUUGUUUAGGAAGGACAUAUUUCCUUCUCCACUGGAAGGCACUUAGGAAAGAGAUCACAAAAGAAAAUCUCCAUACCACUGCCUCCACAGCUCAGCUUCCUGGCUUUGACUUCAGCAGCUCUCAUUAAUUGAGCCAGAGUCAGUAUCUUGCUUUGGCUUUUGUACUCCUUGAUGGAUUUUUAUUUUAUUUCAACCAUUACUUUUCAUCAUCACUUUUUAAGGCCAUAGACAAUUUUUAUAUCCACAACAUCCUGGGGCAUUGAGUUCCACAGUUUAACUAUGUGUUGUGUGGAUGCACACUAUGAGUUCUUAAAUCCUUGUUCCUUACAGUUUUUUCCAUCAUCUUACAAACUUCAGUUGCAUCCACUUGUCACACUCUGCACUUUCCUCAGGCUAUAAAAUCAUCCUGUAUUUAGGUGCUUCUCAGAAACAGUCCUGUAUCUUUAAAGCAUACCAAAUCUUGAUUGAGAAACUGAUGAAAAAUUAUAUUAUUUUGGGCUUAAUUGCUCACACACUGCCACCUUUGAUGAUGCACAGAAAUAGCUCGAGAAGUACCAUUAAAAGCAGAAAUCCAAAGAACAGAAUCAACUCCAAUUUCCUCCACAAAGUAAGGGAUUUGGAUCAAGACAAAGUCAUCAGCAUCUGCCCAGGUUCCCCAGGUGGCUUUGGGGAACCCAUCCCUUCCCUUCUCUUCCGGGGAGUCUGCUCUUCCCAUCUGGGAGACUGAGUUGAAGACACUAAGUAUUGGUUAGAGGAAUUCUUAGGUAUAAAAUCAAUGUCUAAAUUUGUCUAACAAGAGUUUGAACUGCAAGCUUUAACAAUAUUAAUACACUUAAUUUUAUCUAGUCCUAGCCAGCUCAUUUACUGGGAGAUUUCUUGGUUUGUGUGAACUGAUUCUGGAGAACUGGAAAGCAAAGACCCACAUAGCACCCAUCACAGCUUAUUACAGGGGGUAAACAGUCAGUGUUAUUAGUAGAUGAGGAAAGGUAGAUCAAUAUAAAGAAAUACUGCUCUCAUUCACUAUUCCCUUUGUCACUGCCAGGCCUCAGAAUUUUUCAGUUCAUUGAUGUCAGUAAGGAUUUACUCGCCUGCCCAAGAAGCUGGUGCCUGAUUAUUCCCAGGCUGCAGCAGAUCCUGAUCAGCAUGUAAGCUGGCCUGGGCAGCUGCGUAAGAAAACAAAAUUUUAAGAUCACAGCAACUUAAAAUACUGCUUGAGUUUAUAACGUCAACAUUGGUAUCAGGGAACAUGGCAACAAAAGUGACCAAAAAGCAUCUCUUUUCGCUGUAGUGCUUAGCAAAUACAUCAGGUUGGUUAGACAGAGGGCAUGUAACGUUUUCAUUAGCUGAAUGAGCACCUAGCUCAAGCCGAAUCUGAAGGCUUUUGGAAACACUUUAUUCACAGGGAGCAGCUCAGGAGUUAAACUAUGUUUAGCAUAUUCCCUUCCCUACAUUAUUUCACGUGCAGAGCCGCUUCCUCUCUGACAGCAUCAGGAGCCUAUCCUUACAUACCCUAAUGGUCUCAUGCCUUCAGCAAGCUGUGGCUUAUACCCACAUACCUCCUCAUUGCUGUUAUCACCAAUGGUUUCCUCACUGGAAAUAAUCAUGCACAUUACAACUGUUGCCAAAACCCUCUGGCAUCAGAAGCACUCUCGGAAGGAAAGCCUGAAGGCAUGCAAGGGCCUGAACAGGGUAGCUGCAGUGAGGCAGGUCAGCAGUACUACAUGGGAACCCAUGCAAGAGAAAAGCUGCACGCUGCCUUCAUGUUUAACACCAGCCAGAGUUAGGGGUCUGAUUCUGCUGGGCUUUCAGAAUGAAACACAAAUGCUGGCCUGUGCAAAUUCCUCUGUUCAUGGUUUCACGUCCAUGUGCUCACACCAACAAUCCAUCAUGAGGUCCCAUCGCUGCAUCUGCGUGCCUUUGUGGAGACUGCAAAGGUUUUGCAUGAGUUCAAAUAUGAAAAGAAAAGUCAUUUUUCACACAUUCUGAUUUCAAAUAUGACUGUAAAUGUUCUAAGCCUCUUUUUAUGUUUAAACAUUUUUAGUGAGUUAAAAGCCAAACAAACUAUAUCUGUUACAUUUCUGCAGUUAGACCAUGUAACUUGAUUGCUUGACAAAGCAUAAGCGGUAUGAGGUCCUUUAUGGGCCACAGCUGAGCUGGAUUUUAUGCCUAAGAAUUUCCCCAUUUUGGACCAGAAGUAAAAAAAAAAAUUCUUCUGGGCAGCACCCAUGAGCCCAAGUCUGGAAAGAAGAAGUGAAAUGAGGGCAGAAAGCCCCCAAAAGAGCCUGGCUGUCCCUUCAGACAGAGCAGAAGGAAAGUAAAAUCACACCUCUGUUCUUUGGGUGUGGGGUCACCCAUCCCACCCCAGGAGCAGGGCGAAGUACCGAGACUCCCAGCAGCAGCCAGGGAGGUGUUGAGAAGCCCAUCCGAGGGGACCUGGGGAUAGUGCUUGUCCCAACUGGGGAUUGGAGCAGAGGGACUUCACAGAAGACAGCCCCCAAAAUGCUCUGCAGCCCCCAGAUGCCAUGGUGCUGUGGAUGGGUGAGGGAAUUGUUGGCUUGCCACCGCCUGCUCGCUGUGUGGUCCUGCCCAGGGAGACAUCUCAGUGGCUGCCAGGAAUGAGGAAAACUGGCAUGUUUUUGUUUUGUUUCCUUUUAAAUAAACUUGCCGUCCUUAAUCUGGCAGGCUGGAGCCCAGGCUCGACAGGCCAAUGAGUAAUGAGGUGCGAGGGAAGACAGGAUGUGGAAUUAGGAGGUCAGGGCUGAAGGUUGCCCCAAAUUUAAUCUCUACUUCUCCUUCUCCAUGUGCCACUGCUGACCACGGUGUAGACGCACACUCACCAGCGAUGCCCUACAGCCCCAUAUACCAGCAAGGCCAAUGCAGGAGGAGUUCAGGAGCCAGGACUCCCCUCCCUGCCCGCCCUCAUAGGCCUGUGCCCGCAGCAAAGCCUUCCCUGCCUUCCAGAUGCAGUGGUUCAGAAGCUCAGGGGAAGUCAAGUUCACCCCGUGGCUCUGGUGACACUCAGUGUUACCUCACUGAGCUCAUCACCAUCUUGGGUACCUACCAGCAAACAUUAAUUUCCUUCCAGUACCCUUGCCAACCUUUCAGCCUAGCUUCAGCUGGACUUCAGCAUGAGAAAACCAGACUUAUUACCACAUGCUAAAGGCAAUAAAUAAUUUUUUUCCUGCUGCAUGCAUUAUUGGCAGAGUUUGUGACCACGGCUGAAUUACAGCCAUGCAUGCGCUCCACAUGCAUUUAUUCAUCAUCUAAAUUAUUUUUGGCAGCAAAUAAGAGAGUGUGCUGAUUAAAAUUUAAGAGUUAUCUCAACGAGCUAAGGAUUCCUUCACCAGCUCACCUUGGCUCAGGUGUCCCUCCAGCCACCAACUGUUUUUAACAUGCAUCAAGGAGCAGAGCGUGGCCAGCAAACGCAGGCAAAUGGGGACUGCUGGUGUCCUGUGCUGUCCCCCAAGGGUGGCCAGAAAGAAGGCAUCAGCAUUGGUGGCACCAGGAGGAAGUACCUCCAGCUGUUCAGUGAGGUUUUGUGCUAGUGCAGGGCGGCGAAGUCAGUACUUCAGCAAUGCUUAUAUCCCUUUGGCUCAGUACCACUUGAACUUAACCACAUGUUUAAGAGCAUUUUAGGACAGAAGUGCUUUCGUGGUCCAUAGCUGUGAGAGCAGCGAGAACAACUCUGCCUUUUCAGGUGGGCAGUUGGAAAGCAGACUGAAGUGCUUGGAAGGCAAACAAGAGCAGCUUUGCAUUUUUAAAGCAGUGCUUUGAAAGAGGGGCAAGUGUAAAAGUUUAAUUAUAGGUUUUCCUUGACAGGGAAACAACUCUAGUCGGUGUGUGCAUGUGUGCUGUCAAACAGCACAAUCCUAGCAAAUCUAGAAAAGAGCAAAACAAGAAAAGAAGAAGACCAGAAGUUCACAGUGGCUCACGCUCAGUUCUGCUCUGACAAAAUAUUUUCCACUGUUUAAUAUAACGCCUCGUGUAUAUUGAUGCCUAUUGAUUUUUCAAUCUGGCGCUUUAAUUAGGCUCUAGUUGUUCAACCUUGCACCUUUGCUGCAUUAGAGAGUGAAAACAGACGGUAUUUCUUCUCUAGGAGCCUUGGACAGCGAAGCAGAGCAAGGUUGGAGGAAAAGCCUGCAGAAUAUUGACGGGGAAUCUAAAUAUCUCAAAGAUGUUCUGUUCAAAACCUGUAAGGACUCAUGAGGUACGUACUAGCAAAUUAUAAUUGUUAACGCCCCUGUGGAAGGAAAAUGUCAAUAAAUAUUUGUUAUCGCUGGCCUGUUUGGAAACAAAGGCAUUUGCUUCACAGAAGUUCACGUGCCAGACCUUUUUAUGCAUCUUUUCCAGCAGUCCAUUCAAUUAGACAUCUAACAUUUUGUUUCUUUUCAGACAAGGAAGUUAAAAUAACCUCAUAGAAUCAAAAAUAAAGCAUAAAAGCACGAAGGCAUCCUGUAUUCUAUGGUAAAAUAGCACUUGAGCUCAUUUCAGGGAUCCGAAUGCAGCCACAGAGCUGAGCUCCAGCACUUCACCAUUGCACACUAAAGCAGCAGUAAAGGGCAAAAAUCUAAAUGCAUAGUACCGUAAUGCAAAGAAAUGCCCCAACAACAUGUGGCUGCUGACAACUGCAAUCCAUACCUAUGGAUAAUCUCCCCUGGCCAAAUGACUCAACUAAAAUCAGACUUAACUGCAACUCUUCUCCUCCGGCGAGAGAUAUAGAGUAUGUUUGGUUCUGACUUCUCCCUCAUGUCACUGCAGUCCAGACUCAUCCUGCUACUGAAGGAGGAGGUAAAGCUUAAUUUCUAGAUGACUGAAAAAAGCAAAUGCUAUCAUUUUCAAACGCAGGUGGUGAGCUGCUAUAGGCAUUCAGAACUGCCCUGCAGAAAUACCAGGAAAACUUACUUAUGCCACCAGUGCCUCAAAGAGCUCUUAACACAUCCUUGCACUGUGCCAUUCCACUUCACUCUGCUUCUUGUUGAGCUCUUGUAUUUCCCUCAUUUUAUCUCCGGGUGUGUCUGAAGCUGUAGUUCUAUUCUAAAGACUAGGAUUAACAUCUAACACAUGCUGUGAUGAUUUGGCAAAUCAGCCUCUGCACCACUAAAAUGAAUGCUGUUUUACAGCAUGGACUGCACUGCAUGUGUUUCAGCCAGCACAGCCCCUGUAGGCUGGAGCUUCCUUGCCUUCUCCGUAGCUUUUUGUCCUCUUGUUGAUGCAAAGACUAGAGGAGUUGCGGGGUGCAUCCAUUUACCUGGCUACAGUGGAGCAUCCUUAAAAUGCAAGAAACUAGCCAUGCAAAUGAGACAGAAAUGGCUGCCACCCAAGGCAGAGGAAUUUUUCCAAGUCUGAACCCUAUGCAGGAAGCAACUUCUUAGUAACUAUUUGUUUUAUGGAUUCAUUUGAGGAGCUGAUAAAACUGAAAAGAGGGCUCCUGAGGUGUUUCACUAAUCAGGAGGACAGGGAUCUGCAUUUCUCAGAAGUCAUAUGCAGGAGUUUGGGUCUAGAAGAACUGUGACCUACUUAGAAGACUCUGACUUAAGCCCCAAAUAAUGCUCUUGCUCAAGCAUGAAUUACAAGCAGCUGAAGAAAGAUGAGCUUUCGCACUUGCGCUCCAGCCAAGUUUGCCCACAUCUAAUGAGGAAAAGUAGGAUUCGGUGCCAUUUUGUAUUCCCGUGAUGUGGUGCAGAUGGAGGCUCGGCACACGCUCCUUUGCCUCCCCUUGCAAAGCGCAGAGCUGGAAAGCAUCAGGUUGAAGAGCAGAGGAAGUGGUGGCUGUGAGAAGCUGCCUCACCCAUGGGAGUAGAGCCGGCAGCAGCUCUGGUGACUGGAGAUGGCUGAGCUGGAAGAAAAUAUUAAACAGCCCAUGGCCAAAAGCUUGGGGAGUUACAGCAGCAGCCAUCCGUGGAGGGAGGAGAAAGGCUGAGCCAUCACACCUCAGCUUGAAAGACCUUGGCAGAGGCAAAGAGGGUGGCACACGGGCGCUGGCCUCAGCCCUGAGCUGGGUGCAUGCCUCGCUGUGUGCCAGGCCCAGGCCCUGUCUGCAGCCAUGUGGACCCAUGUCCCAUGGAAGGGAAAUGCAACCGAGCUGAGCGCUGCAGUGAGUCAGCCUUCUGAUGCAAGAUGGGAAUGCAGCUGGGCUGGGCAUUGCUGUGGGAUUAUAAAGUUAAAAAAAUGGAAAAAAGCCCUUGGGGAAAGGGAAUGCAACUGAUGGGAGAAACAGCGGAAGAGGUGGACAGGAUGCAUCCUCUGUGCAUGCUUCGAGCACUGGGCCGUCUGUGGAUGCGAGUAAGGCUCCCGAAUUCUGUCAUCAAGGCCACACUGGGCUGCCCGUGGUGCACAGGCUCAAAGUGCACAACACUACCUGCUCACCGGGUCAGGGUUGCCCCACGCUGCAGGCAGGGUUUUGUUCAGCAAGAGAAAGGUUUUCUACAUAAAAGGCCUUAUAUCCAAAAGACACCAUUUUAACUUGGCCGCAGCAGCACUGGAAAUGCAUUCUGGGGAACAGGAAAAGUCCACGGGGCGGCUGUUGUCAGAAAACAGUUUCUGGAAAAAAUUAAAGUUCUCCUGAGGCAUGUAGAAAAAUUCCAGGACACUGUAUUAUUAUUGUUGUUAUUAUUACCCUUGAUCUUUUGGAAGGUGGAGAGGGAGCACAUGCCGUUUUAAAGAAAGAAGACAGGACAUCUGCAGCCUUUAAAAGGCAAAGCACAAAGGCUGCUGGGCUCUCCUUACAGCAUUUUUAAUUAUCUUUCUUAAGUUUCCCAAAUAAAAACAUCACAUUGAGCCUCACCCAAUAAAGCUAUGUGGGUAAAUACAAUACCCAUUGUCUAAUCAAUAUCAUAUUGCUCAUGGCUUUAGCUCGUUCAAUAUCUGAGAUCACUGCCUCCCGACUCACACCUAAGGAUGCCAAUAUCUGCUUAAUGUUGGACAAACUGCAGUUGUCAUUCCCUGUAACAGAGUUCUUUAAUCUCAUUAAUAACCUACAGAUACCAAAGUGCAGCUUCAAGUAAAGCUGGCUGGAGCGUGCCAGAUUUCCAGUGUGCAGUUUCAGCUCUGGAGUGGGGUGGGUUAAAGAGCCCUGGUCCUGCUGGGGCUGCAGCCCCUGCCCCACUGCUGCUGUGCUAGGGCACCCAUGAACAAAUUAAAAAAAAAAAAAAGUCAAAUGCAGAGGGCGAAGAGGUAAGGGUAUGAGCUCAGCCAGAUGCCGUGACUAGGACAAAGUGUAUGACUGAAGUAUAUCCUCCAAAAUACUCUUUCUGGGAGCAGCAGUGCUGUGUGCUUGGUGCGGGCAUGCCAUUGUGCCCACCCAUCAUCCCCACUGGAACCCCGGGGCAAGCAAAGGGCAAGCAGCGAGAGCGCACCUGGCCCAAGGCCUGUCCCAGCAGUGCAUCCAUGAGCCCCGCAGCCCCGCGCAGCUGUCCGGGCGCGAUGCCGCCACGUCCGAGCUCAGCACAGCUCUGGGGAGCCCAGAAUGUAUCGUGAAAUAAAAACAGCUGCGAGGGAAACUCAUAUGACUAGGAUAGGUGCCAUCUAGCAAUUAACAGCCAGAAGUUUUGAUCUGGAAAAUCACAUUUAUUUUAAUUGCUUCGCUGUUGUGUUCAUAAAGAAUUUGGCUCAUUUUAGUAUUUUCCUUAUUAGAUAUACGAUUUAACUUUGGAACAAUGUAGUCAUUAGUUCCAUUGUUCCAGAUAUUUCAUCACGGGGAAAUGAAUGAUGGAGACAUGUUCUGCAAGGAAGACUGUUUAUAAAUAUUUAUCCUUGUCUUAACAGAUAUUUGUGUAAUCCAGCCGAGUUUUCUAGCACAGAAUUCAGCAGUUGUUAAUCUGGCGCAUGGCAAGCUGCACAUCUCCUAACCUCUGAGCUCAGCAAGCGAUCUUAUCAAAAGGACAAAGUGAGAGAAGUACACUUUUGUUUUACAAUUAUUUCCUUUUCAAGACCCAAUUCUUUCCACUCCCUUCCGUGGGAAGACACGUGUGUCAGAUUGCCACCACCGCUGCCAUUCACUGACAUGCUGACCCCGCGGCAGGCGCUGCCCUCAGAGCCCUGUGCCAUAGGCAGGAUCGGGCCCUGCACACGCAGCUGGGAGGGGAGCUGUAAAAAAUGCAUGGGCCCUUCUGCUGCGAAUGAUGCUGCUCAGCUGAAAGGAACUGGGAGGUGAAAAAUGGAAUUUGGCAGUUCUGUGCCGCUCCACCAUUUGGUGCUUGUUGUGGGACUCCAGCAAAAGGGAGCUAUCACUGCGGGCAUAAUUUACUUGAUUUUAAGGAUCUGUAUGAAUUCUGGCACCAGACCAAGUAGCCAUUAGCUAUGAGGAGUGCUUCCCGAUGCUCAUUUGUUUUCCAUGUGUGAAUUUUCACUCAUCCGAACUUUCUUUAGAAAAAAUUUUUCUUCAUCAAUUCCAUGUGGAAAAUGCAACAGAAACCCAGAUAAUAAAUUAUUCAAGAAACACAACAGUUUUUGUUUUUUUAAAUGGAAAACUACUAGUUCUGGAAUCAGACUGUCUGCCUGCUUUGAUUUCUGAUAUCUUAAAGCUAAGUGUUAUAAAAUGAUACGGUUGUUCACAUGCUCCAGGAUAGGCUUUUGGGCAAAUUACCCUAAAUAAGGUAACUCAAUAGCCAGGUAGGCAGGCUUUAAUGCUAUUACUAUUAGGAAAAUACCAUUAAUAUGAGACAUAUGCGGGCCACUAUUACAUCAGCAGGGCCUCACUCACGCAGUAUGUGGGAGCAGUGCUGUGGAUCGUAGCAGCGGUGCUGGGCCUUCACACACGUAACGUGCCUUAGUCUUGAGGUCAAAAUCUGUUAAUGCAAUUUUGAGUAUAAGAACAAGAAUUUAAAAUCCAUGUGGUUUUAAUGCCAUGUUCUGAGAUGGGGGGGCAGGGGAUGAUUUGUUGCGUUUCUUUAUUUGGGCUGCUCGCACUGAACGUGAACUCCUUUGAAAUGUGUGUGUGUCACAUCAAGACUAACUUGUGAGAUGUGAUGAACAAAAACAAAAUCUCAUUCCAUUUCUUUGCUCAAAAAGUUUGAUUUUGGUUGUGUUUCAAAUUAUAAGGACCAUUAUUGGUAAUCUGCAUUUACUUCUCAUUGAAGCAUUACAUAAUAAACCAAAACCGUGUGUCAGAUGUACCGCUCCCAAAUAAGUGCACUGAGAUAAAGUGAGACCUCUAAGAGAAUGCCUGUCCUUUACAACGAGAGUAUUCCCAUUUUAAACAAUUAAUAUAUUUGGGUUUCUUCAUUUCUGCGGUCUCGUAGCACAACUUAUAGCUAAAGCGCUGUGUUGAACAUGCAUAUUUUGGACCGAGCUCUUCUCUGUGUCUAUUUAACAGCUACUCACAGCUGUCUCUGCUUUAAACGUAUUGGGAUAAAAUUUCAUCACAAAGCCUCAUUGCUACAAAAAGAAAGGGAAAAUGGAUGCAGGCGGGCACAGGGUGAGCAUGCAUGGCCAGCACCCCUUGCAGCAAGACCACAGUGGCAGUGGGGGAUGAGUGGGGAGGGGGCAGAGGUGUACCCAACCUGGGCACUGCAGGUAUGGUGGGCUGUGCAUCCCGAGCUGCUGCCAGUUUGGCUGUGCAAAGCACACCUGCUGCCCUCAGAUCUUAGCAUGGAGGACACAAAGCUCCCAUUCAUUUCUCUGAGUGCUAAGACACAGGGAAGCGGUUCAGCGGUGCAGUAAGCACAGAGCAAGCAGCAGUGACAGUGACAGGAAGGUACUGUCCCUCUGGGUGCUGGCCGCCACCUGACUGCCAUCCAGGAGCAGCUCUGCUGGUGCCUGCAGGAGACUGGUUUUAAUGUGGUAUAUCUGCUUAACAGCUUUGCUGAUCGUGUUGCUGCUGCAUGUGCACAUUUUAAAUGUACUUUUAAAUUUACUUUGAGGGCUUCCUUUGACCUCCUGUAGCAGAUGUGGGAACCCUCCAGCCCUGAGCUGCAAACAAGUGUCCAGUGCAGCUCCUGCUGCCUAUGUCCCCCCUGCUCCCAUACACAGCUCUGUGCUGCAGGCAGGGCUCCCACAAGCUGUCUGCACAUUGCUAUGUAAACCAGUGUCACCUGCUAUGCCCCCUCAAGGCCAUGAGCCAUGGCAGUGCCACAGCCCUGGACACUGCUCCUUGCAGCGAGCCCCUCACUCCAGCAAUACUCUGUGAUCUAACAUAUGGAUGCAUUGAUAUGUUUCUCUUUAUGUAGAGACAUGUAAUGUGAUGCACACACACACACACACACUUUUUUUCUUUAUCCAUAUCUCUCUAUAUAGAGAGAAUAUACACAAAGAGCACAAUAACACUAUUAGAUAGAGCAAAUUACCAGCAACAAAUGCUGUUCUCCAACACGGUCACCACCAUUAGCUCUGCAUUUUCACCAGCAAUGAAAAAGAGCACACAUGCCACACUUGUACAAAUAUGCACCAACAGAGGUGACCACUGUCACUGUCACCACUGCUGAAAUGCACUGCCCACCACUGCACUCACAUCCACUGGCUGGUCUCCAUAAACAUUCAGCAAGAGUCAACGAAUGUCAGUGAUGCCAUAUUUUUUUUAACUCACCUGUUCCUGGAGAUUCUUCUCCCUUGAGCUCCUGCACCUGAUGGAGGUGUUAACAUGGUCAGGUACCGCUUUCGCUGCACCCAUGAUCAGCCUUGCUGAGUGCACCUUUGGUGAUUUUAACACAAACAUCUCACUGCAGUCACUGUGGCUGCAGAAUCCUUUUUCUAAAAUUUUAAUCAUGACCCCAGCAAUUAUGAUAUGAACUUAAACUCAUAUAUGGACUUAUAGUCUGAGUGUGCCACCAGCAAGGCAGCCGUGCACAGGCCCUGCAGCAAGCAGCUCCACAUGCCGAUAUGGGCUGGUGUGGCGCCGGCUCUACUACCCACAGGCACAGCUUUACACAAAGAAAGGAGAACAUUUUUAAAAAACAACAUCUCCUUUUCACUUUCUCAGUGAACUCAUGUCUGUUUUAUGGAGCAGCAAGCCUGGAUUUGCAAGGCUUCAUUCUUCU
ensembl:lncRNA